rnacentral:rRNA from 1 species
CCUACGGGAGGCAGCAGUGGGGAAUAUUGGACAAUGGGGGGAACCCUUAUCCAGCCAUGCCGCGUGUGUGAAGAAGGCCCUCGGGUUGUAAAGCACUUUCAGUGAGGAAGAACGCCUGGUGGUUAAUACCCAUCAGGAAAGACAUCACUCACAGAAGAAGCACCGGCUAACUCCGUGCCAGCAGCCGCGGUAAUACGGAGGGUGCGAGCGUUAAUCGGAAUUACUGGGCGUAAAGCGCGCGUAGGUGGCUUGAUAAGCCGGUUGUGAAAGCCCCGGGCUCAACCUGGGAACGGCAUCCGGGACUGUCAAGCUAGAGUGCAGGAGAGGAAGGUAGAAUUCCCGGUGUAGCGGUGAAAUGCGUAGAGAUCGGGAGGAAUACCAGUGGCGAAGGCGGCCUUCUGGACUGACACUGACACUGAGGUGCGAAAGCGUGGGUAGCAAACAGGAUUAGAUACCCUAGUAGUC